AUUGAACGCUGGCGGCAGGCCUAACACAUGCAAGUCGAGCGGGGUUUUCGGACCUAGCGGCGGACGGGUGAGUAAUGCGUAGGAAGCUACCCGAUAGAGGGGGAUACCAGUUGGAAACGACUGUUAAUACCGCAUAAUGUCUACGGACCAAAGUGUGGGACCUUCGGGCCACAUGCUAUCGGAUGCGCCUACGUGGGAUUAGCUAGUUGGUGGGGUAAUGGCUCACCAAGGCGACGAUCCCUAGCUGGUUUGAGAGGAUGAACAGCCACACUGGAACUGAGACACGGUCCAGACUCCUACGGGAGGCAGCAGUGGGGAAUAUUGGACAAUGGGCACAAGCCUGAUCCAGCCAUGCCGCGUGUGUGAAGAAGGCCUUCGGGUUGUAAAGCACUUUCAGUAGGGAGGAAGGGUGUUGUGUUAAUAGCACUGCAUUUUGACGUUACCUACAGAAGAAGCACCGGCUAACUCUGUGCCAGCCGCCGCGGUAAAAC
rnacentral:rRNA from 1 species